UCGCUCUCUCCGAUCUGUUGUCUGCAAGUGAUUUAGCACCAGGUUCUCCACAAACAUGAGUUGCGUGGGAGGAGAGGGGUGGCCGCAUAUCCGGCCGUGCCCCAGUCCAGUCACGAGCGGCUCUGCUCACCGGGGCCCCCCCCAGGGGGGAGGCCCAGCUAUCAGGGGCCAACC